AAAAUGGACCGGGAGCAAUUGCUAAUCAGACUCCCGGGAAGGUCUUCGGACUCGGUGACGGUCCCUUAGGGGGCGCAAGUCCCCUCGGGCUUACGGGGCAACCCGGCCGGAUCUUCUAAACCCUGUGUUAACAAACCUUUGUUGCUUUGGCGGGCCGCGGCCUCCGCUGCGGGCUCACGCUCGCACGUGCCCGCCAGAGGAAAAAACCCUUGAAUUUAGUGAUGUCUGAGUACUAUUAAAUAGUUA
rnacentral:misc_RNA from 1 species